rnacentral:rRNA from 1 species
CCUACGGGGUGCACCAGUGGGGAAUAUUGCACAAUGGGCGCAAGCCUGAUGCAGCCAUGCCGCGUGUGUGAAGAAGGCCUUCGGGUUGUAAAGCACUUUCAGCGGGGAGGAAGGCGGUGAGGUUAAUAACCUCAUCGAUUGACGUUACCCGCAGAAGAAGCACCGGCUAACUCCGUGCCAGCAGCCGCGGUAAUACGGAGGGUGCAAGCGUUAAUCGGAAUUACUGGGCGUAAAGCGCACGCAGGCGGUCAGUCAAGUCGGAUGUGAAAUCCCCGGGCUCAACCUCGGAAUUGCAUUUGAAACUGGCAGGCUAGAGUCUUGUAGAGGGGGGUAGAAUUUCAGGUGUAGCGGUGAAAUGCGUAGAGAUCUGGAGGAAUACCGGUGGCGAAGGCGGCCCCCUGGACGAAGACUGACGCUCAGGUGCGAAAGCGUGGGGAGCAAACAGGAUUAGAUACCCGCGUAGUC